UUAUUUCUAUGAUCACUAUUUACUAGUCCAUUUACACAUCCCAAAUAUUUAUACCAAGUUCUAAGUUCUUCAUGGGUUCCCAAAUUAAAUUUGCAUUUUUUAGAAACAUGUAUGUGUCGUUUUUAAAUUAAAAGUUUCAUAUUUAGAUUUUUUUUAUUUAUUUAAAAUAGAAUUGUGUUGUUUUUUAAAGUCCCAUGUUUAGAUUUUUGUAUUUAAAAUAG
rnacentral:lncRNA from 1 species